AUUGAACGCUGGCGGCAUGCCUUACACAUGCAAGUCGAACGGUAACAGGUCUUCGGAUGCUGACGAGUGGCGAACGGGUGAGUAAUAUAUCGGAACGUGCCCAGUCGUGGGGGAUAACGCAGCGAAAGCUGUGCUAAUACCGCAUACGAUCUAUGGAUGAAAGCGGGGGAUCGCAAGACCUCGCGCGAUUGGAGCGGCCGAUAUCAGAUUAGGUAGUUGGUGGGUAAAGGCCCACCAAGCCAACGAUCUGUAGCUGGUCUGAGAGGACGACCAGCCACACUGGAACUGAGACACGGUCCAGACUCCUACGGGAGGCAGCAGUGGGGAAUUUUGGACAAUGGGCGCAAGCCUGAUCCAGCAACGCCGCGUGAAGGAAGAAGGUUUUCGGAUUGUAAACUUCUGUCCUUGGUGAAGAGAAGAAGACGGUAGCCAAAGGAGGAAAGCCCCGGCUAACUAACGUGCCAGCAGCCGCGGUAAAAGUACUCUAAU
rnacentral:rRNA from 1 species